AACGAACGCUGGCGGCAGGCCUAACACAUGCAAGUCGAACGCUCCGCAAGGGGAGUGGCAGACGGGUGAGUAACACGUGGGAACCUUCCCAUCGCUACGGAAUAGCUCAGGGAAACUUGGGGUAAUACCGUAUAAGCCCGCAAGGGGAAAGAUUUAUCGGCGAUGGAUGGGCCCGCGGCUGAUUAGCUAGUUGGUGAGGUAACGGCUCACCAAGGCGACGAUCAGUAGCUGGUCUGAGAGGACGACCAGCCACACUGGGACUGAGACACGGCCCAGACUCCUACGGGAGGCAGCAGUGGGGAAUAUUGGACAAUGGGCGCAAGCCUGAUCCAGCCAUGCCGCGUGAGUGACGAAGGUCUUCGGAUUGUAAAGCUCUUUUGGCGGGGACGAUAAUGACGGUACCCGCAGAAUAAGCUCCGGCUAACUCCGUGCCAGCCGCCGCGGUAACAC
rnacentral:rRNA from 1 species